rnacentral:rRNA from 1 species
AGAGUUUGAUCCUGGCUCAGAGCGAACGCUGGCGGAAUGCUUAACACAUGCAAGUCGCACGGGGGCUUCGGCCUUAGUGGCGGACGGGUGAGUAACGCGUAGGAACGUGUCUUGGGGUGGGGGAUAACGCUGGGAAACUGGCGCUAAUACCGCAUGUCUGCUGCGGCAGAAAAGCCUUCGGGUGCCUUGAGAGCGGCCUGCGUCCGAUUAGCUAGUUGGUGGGGUAAAGGCUUACCAAGGCUUCGAUCGGUAGCUGGUCUGAGAGGACGAUCAGCCACACUGGGACUGAGACACGGCCCAGACUCCUACGGGAGGCAGCAGUGGGGAAUAUUGGACAAUGGGCGCAAGCCUGAUCCAGCAAUUCCGCGUGGGUGAAGAAGGUCUUCGGAUUGUAAAGCCCUUUCGACAGGGACGAUGAUGACGGUACCUGUAGAAGAAGCCCCGGCUAACUUCGUGCCAGCAGCCGCGGUAAUACGAAGGGGGCUAGCGUUGCUCGGAAUUACUGGGCGUAAAGGGCGCGUAGGCGGCGCUGUUAGUCAGGCGUGAAAUUCCUGGGCUCAACCUGGGGACUGCGCUUGAUACGGCAGUGCUUGAGGAUGGAAGAGGCUCGCGGAAUUCCCAGUGUAGAGGUGAAAUUCGUAGAUAUUGGGAAGAACACCGGUGGCGAAGGCGGCGAGCUGGUCCAUUACUGACGCUGAGGCGCGACAGCGUGGGGAGCAAACAGGAUUAGAUACCCUAGUAGUCC